rnacentral:rRNA from 1 species
AGAGUUUGAUCCUGGCUCAGAUUGAACGCUGGCGGGAUGCUUUACACAUGCAAGUCGAACGGCAGCGCGAGACAGCUUGCUCCCUUGGCGACGAGUGGCGGACGGGUGAGUAAUGUCUCGGAACGUGCCCGAUAGCGGGGGAUAACUACUCGAAAGAGUGGCUAAUACCGCAUACGCCCUACGGAGGAAAGGGGGGGAUCUUCAGACCUCUUGCCAUCGGAUGGGCCCAUAUGGGAUUAGCUAGUUGGUGGGGUAACGGCUCACCUAGGCGACGAUCCCUAGCUGGUCUGAGAGGACGACCAGCCACACUGGAACUGAGACACGGCCCAGACUCCUACGGGAGGCAGCAGUGGGGAAUUUUGCACAAUGGGCGAAACCCUGAUGCAGCCAUGCCGCGUGUAUGAUGAAGGCCUUCGGGUUGUAAAGUACUUUCGGCGGAGAAGAAAACGUAUCUCCUAAUACCAGAUACUGCUGAUGGUAUCUGCAGAAUAAGCACCGGCUAACUACGUGCCAGCAGCCGCGGUAAUACGUAGGGUGCAAGCGUUAAUCGGAAUUACUGGGCGUAAAGCGUGUGUAGGCGGUUCGUAAAGGAAGAUGUGAAAUCCCAGGGCUCAACCUUGGAACUGCAUUUUUAACUGCCGAGCUAGAGUAUGUCAGAGGGGGGUAGAAUUCCGCGUGUAGCAGUGAAAUGCGAUGAUAGGUGGAGGAAUACCGAGGGCGAAGGCCGCCCGAAGGGAUAGUACGGUCGCUCGGACACGAAAGCGUGCGGAGCAAGCAGGAUUACGAUACCAUGGCAGUCCACGCCCUAAAUGAAGUCAGAUAGCGGGCCCGGCCGGUAGGCCUUCGUAGCGCAGCGAACGCGGGAAGCCGACCGCGGGGGGCGUACGCUCGCAAGAAUCUAACUCAAAGGAACGGACGGGGACCCGCGCAAGCGGGCGAUGAUGUGGAUUAGUUGGAAGCAGCGCGACAAACCUUACUUACCCCAGCCAGGUCAGGAAACCCGGAGAGAUUGGGCCGUGCUCGCAAGAGAACCCGAACACAGCUGGGGCAUGGCCGUCGUCAGCUCGAGUCGUGAGAGGUAGGUCUAACUCCCGCAGCGAGCGCAACCCUUGUCAUCCGGCGCUCCGCCCGAGCACUCUAAGGAGACUGCCGGUGACAAACCGGAGGAAGGUGGGGAUGACGUCAAGUCCUCAUGGCCCUUACGGGUAGGGCUUCACACGUCAUACAAUGGUCCGGACAGAGGGUCGCCACCCCGCGAGGGCGAGCCAACCUCAGAAACCCGAUCGUAGUCCGGAUCGCAGUCUGCAACUCGACUGCGUGAAGUCGGAAUCGCUAGUAAUCGCGGAUCAGAAUGUCGCGGUGAAUACGUUCCCGGGCCUUGUACACACCGCCCGUCA